CAAGGUAUAACCCGAGGUGGGAAGCGGUGAUCGUUGAAGAUGGUUGGCGGCGGUUGGAGGUGGACGGACGUGGACGAGAAGGAGGACGAGGACGAGGACGAGGAGGACGAAGAUUUGUGCUCGGUAUAACCCGAGGUGGUCAUCGAUGGUUGUUGGAAGUGGUUGGCUGUGGCUGGAGCCAGUGGUGGGGGCUGGAGGACCAGGAAGACAAGGAGAACAAGGUGGACGAGGAUGACGAGGAUUCGUGCACUGUACAACCCGAGGUGGUUAUCGGUGGUUGUUCGAGGUGGUUGGCG